UACGUAGGGGCCUAGCGUUGUCCGGAUUUAUUGGGCGUAAAGAGCUCGUAGGCGGUUUGGUGAGUCGGGUGUGAAAUCUCCACGCUCAACGUGGAGGGGCCACCCGAUACUGCCAUGACUUGAGUACUGCAGGGGAGACUGGAAUUCCUGGUGUAGCGGUGAAAUGCGCAGAUAUCAGGAGGAACACCGGUGGCGAAGGCGGGUCUCUGGGCAGUAACUGACGC
rnacentral:rRNA from 1 species